rnacentral:rRNA from 1 species
UACGGAAGGCAGCAGUGGGGAAUAUUGCACAAUGGGCGCAAGCCUGAUGCAGCCAUGCCGCGUGUAUGAAGAAGGCCUUCGGGUUGUAAAGUACUUUCAGCGGGGAGGAAGGCGAUGCGGUUAAUAACCGCGUCGAUUGACGUUACCCGCAGAAGAAGCACCGGCUAACUCCGUGCCAGCAGCCGCGGUAAUACGGAGGGUGCAAGCGUUAAUCGGAAUUACUGGGCGUAAAGCGCACGCAGGCGGUCUGUUAAGUCAGAUGUGAAAUCCCCGGGCUUAACCUGGGAACUGCAUUUUGAAACUGGCAGGCUUGAGUCUUGUAGAGGGGGUAGAAUUCCAGGUGUAGCGGUGAAAUGCGUAGAGAUCUGGAGGAAUACCGGUGGCGAAGGCGGCCCCUGGGACAAGACUGACGCUCAGGUGCGAAAGCGUGGGGAGCAAACGAGGAUUAGGAUACC